AGUGUGUGUGUAUAUAUAUAUAUAUAUAUAUAUAUAUAUAUAUAUAUAUAUAUACUAGCUAAUCCUUCAAGUGUUAAUAUGACACACCAUAAAAAAUCUUGCAUAUAAGAACAUUUUAAAUAAUAUACAACUAGCGUGAUAUUUUAAAACGUCGGCAAGAAUAACACCGACGCUUGUAAAAGUGUCGAGUAAAGAAUCGUUAAGUAAAUGUGUCGGAAUAAAUAUACUGAUGCUUUAAUAAAGUGUCGAAAAAUUUUUAUUAGUAUUUGAUUAAAAAUAUAUUUAUUGAUGAUACUUAAUCAUAAUGUCAAUACAUGACAAAUAUUGAAAAAGUUAGAAUAAAACUUCGUUUAAAGUAUAUUUUAUGCUUUCACUUUUGUUUUCAACAACAGCAUU
rnacentral:lncRNA from 1 species